rnacentral:lncRNA from 1 species
UCUACUCUCCUCAUCCUUAAAGGCCUCAUUCAGUUGUUCUCUCCUCCAUGAAGAAUUCCCUGGCAAACUGGCCACCCCCCGUCCCUGUCAUUAUAUCAGUUAUCAUUAGUCUCUUACCACAUUUGGGAACAGCCUGUUCAGUGGGUAGGGGAACUGUUCAGUGGGUAGGGGAACAAAAACAUGGGCUUUGAUGCCAGAUUGCAUGGUGGAAUCUUGAUUUGGCCGAUCACCAGCUGUGUGGCCUUGGGCAAGGUAGUUAACCUCUCUGAGAUACAGUUUUCUUAUCUGCUAAGUGAGGAUAAAGCUCUUAUUACACAACUUGGGUUGUGUAAUUCCUCCCCAUGACCUCUCCUUAGAGAGGCCUUCUGCCACCACCCUCUAAGUCACUGGCCCCCUUCUGCUUUGUCUCACCUUCUGUUUAUUUUCUUCUAGGGCUUACCCCAAUCUGUGAUUUUCCUACUUUUGAUUUGGUUGUCAACUCCAUGAGGAUGGGUCUCUUGUCUCUGGGAUUAUGGGAGAUGAAUAGCCUUGAAAAGUGUUAGUCCCUGGCCUUGCCUCUUCCAUCUGCUCAUCUGGGAGCCCCUCAGGGCAGGGGCUGUGGCUUUUGCAUGUCUGCAUUCUUAGCACCCAGCACUGUGCCUGGUCCAGAGUGGGCCCUUAGUCUGUAUUUGCUGCCUGCCUCCCCAUCCUUGUUCUUCCCCCCUCUUUAUCUUCACAGCUCCCUGUGGUCUCUUGAUGGCUUCUAAUGUAUAUCAGGCUGAGCCUGGCCUCCCCCAGACUGGGAGCGUCCUGGGGGCAGGCCCCAGGUUUCUGCCACUUACUUUGCUUCUAAGCCCAAGACAGAAUUUUAAGUGGGAAUUUGGGGUACCUUUCUGGCUGUAGUAUUAGAGGCCUUGGCCAUGCCCUGAGCAUCGCCCUGGGUGGUAGGACAGUGACCUAGAAUGGUAUGAUCUAGCCUGAGAGACUUAGAGAGGGCCAGGAGGUCCCCCUGAUGCCCAGGUGCCCCUCUCAGGUGGGGGAGCCUGGGCUGUGAGUUUCCUGGGGUGAGUGGUGUCCACACGGUCUAAGGAAGCCUCAUUUGGUUCACAGGAAAAUUGGUCCCUGAAC